rnacentral:rRNA from 1 species
AAAAGAACUCUGAAUAGAGAGUUAAAUAGUACGUGAAACUGCUUAGAGGUUAAACCCGAUGAACCUGAAUAUCCAAUAUAAAGAAUUCAUCAUUAAUAUAUUAAUUAUUAUUAAUAUAAUGGUGUGCAUUUUCUUUAUAUAAUGGACAUUGUAAUCUAUUAAUAUAAUAUAUUUAUCAUAAGAUCAUAAGCAUAUGUUUAUUUUAAUUAAUUUGUUUCGGCUUAUUAUAUUUAAAAUAAUUGCUAAUGAUUUGAUAAAGUAUUGAUAGAUUAAAUCAUAUGUAUAAUGCUUAAAUUCAUUUAUGAAUUUUAUAAUAUAGUAAUAUAUUAUAUGCAUUUAUACGAUUUACAAUGCGAAAGAUUCAGGAUACCUUCGGGAC